rnacentral:rRNA from 1 species
UCGAGAAUAUUCGUCAAUGCCCGAAAGGGUGAACGAGCGACGCCGCGUGCAGGAUGAAGGCCUUCGGGUUGUAAACUGCUUUUUUUAGGGAAGAAUGUAAUGACGGUACCUAAAGAAUAAGAGGUUACUAACUCUGUGCCAGCAGUAGCGGUAAUACAGAGACCUCAAGCGUUAUCCGGAUUCAUUGGGCGUAAAGAGCAUGUAGGCGGAUAUAUUAGUCAGAUGUCAAAUCUUCGAGCUCAACUCGAAAACUGCAUCUGAAACGGUAUAUCUAGAGUCAGCGAGAGAUCAAUGGAACAUAUGGUGUAGCAGUGAAAUGCGUUGAUAUCAUAUGGAACACCAAAGGCGAAGGCAUUUGAUUGGUGCUGCACUGACGCUGAGAUGCGAAAGCGUGGGUAUCGAAUGGG